rnacentral:lncRNA from 1 species
CUCAGAUCCGUUGGUCUCACUGGCACAUAUUGUGGAGCAGUUUUGGACAUCAGUGGAGCUGAAGACCAUUGUUGUGUGCAGCUUGCUGGAGGCAUUGGAAGCAAAAUGCAGGGAAAAAGCCCCAAUCUUCUAUGUGGAAGAAUUUGUCUUCAGUAAGAUGUAUCUUCUAGGCCAGUUGUCUCCUUGA